CUGAAUACAGUCGAGAUAUCGAGAUGUCAAUCAUGCAAAGUGAGAUGGAACGUGAAAAAUGUCUGCGGCAACGAAAUGUGGAAAGAUUAACCGAGAAUUGAAAAUUGUACGGAGGCAAAUAGAGAAAAAGACGAUAAGCUCGCGAAUGUGCGUCUAUCAUUUCCACUUAAGUUGACGGGGAUAUGCUGAAAUAUUUGAUAAAUCUUUUGUGCACUAUCAAGCUUUCAUUACUAUGCAAAUUUAAAGCCACAUCGCCGCUCGAAUAAAAUUUUGCUCUCUUCAAAUCGCUCGAAAAAAGUUCGUUGAUAAUCCACGAUUUUCGAAUAAAUCCGCUAGCUGACGAAGGAACUUUCGCAGAAAUAUCCCAUUUCGAUAGACUGCACCGGAAGCAAUUCGCCUAAAUCUGCAUUGAAUUGCUCUUCGUCUACAGUAUUGUUAAAAGACAAGAAAAGAAGUCACAGCGCGCACAUCGAAGUAUCCAUUAUGGUGUGAAAUAUUCACUCUUUUAUGUCAAAGAUAUGCAGAUAGAUACGAUGGGUCAUUAUAUAUGUAUUCGGUGCGUCAAAGAAAAU